UGAUCGAUUGCCCAUUGACAUACUUAUUACAAAUGAGGUACAACUAAUAAUAAAAACUUUUCAUAUAAAAUUAUAGAUCAUUGUAGACCAGUAUAUGGCAACAAACAGUAGCCGUUUAAGAAUUAAUGUUUCUUCUUCUUAAUCAGAAUCCAUUUUUUUUCUCGACAAAAAUAGGUAGUACCUACACGUCCUUUAAACAGCCCGGUCGGACGAAAACUGAAGGGCCGGAGUGACGCCAGUCAAUGGGCAAAUAUUUCAACUGA
rnacentral:misc_RNA from 1 species